rnacentral:rRNA from 1 species
CGGGACGGGUGAGUAAUGUCUGGGAAACUGCCUGAUGGAGGGGGAUAACUACUGGAAACGGUAGCUAAUACCGCAUAACGUCGCAAGACCAAAGAGGGGGACCUUCGGGCCUCUUGCCAUCGGAUGUGCCCAGAUGGGAUUAGCUUGUAGGUGGGGUAACGGCUCACCUAGGCGACGAUCCCUAGCUGGUCUGAGAGGAUGACCAGCCACACUGGAACUGAGACACGGUCCAG